GUUUGUUCUUUAGCUGCGCUUGAAUUGAGGGAGCCUGUUAGAAGUAUUGCUCAUACUGAGCCUGGUCCAUCUCAGCAUGACACUCAGCAUUUGAUGCCACAUAAGAUGAAAACACAAGAUAAUGAAGAUGCUCCCUUAUGUCUUGAAUCAGCCAAACACAGCACGCGAUAGUCCUAUGUUUAGUUGACUUGUUUGUUAUGUAAUUAUGGUCUCUUGCAGCUAUAUGAUUUUUGUUUUACCUUGUACAUCUUGACAACUGCAUUAGGGUUUCUAGCUUAGUGGUUCUAGCAUCUUCGAUAGACUAGUAUAUAUAUAAUCCUUCUUUUUAUUGUAAGGGCGAGAGUUCAGAUAAUUCAUACCAACGAAAGUUUACAGCAUGAGUUUUAUUUCCCUUUUCAUGCAACUUUUUAUCACUAUGCACUCAAAACAGCGACACCCAACCCUAAGCAUUAGUGCCUCCAUAGUAGCAUCCAUGAUCCAUGUCCAACCAAAUCACUUUUCCGAUCCGACAAUCUGCUCCGCUGCCGCAGCGCCACCAUUUCCAAAGAUCUCCGGCAACGGCACUCCGUUGCUAUCGUUCACAUCAUUAACCCGUAAAAAACCCCUAAACACCAAACACCAUUUGAGCUCCUUCCAACUCCACUAUUCCCUCAACCGCAACUCAACAUUUCCCCAGUAUUUGUUUCUCUCCGCCUUUUCCGUCGCACUCUUGAUUCUCCGCCUUACUUCUGCUGUCAUUCUUCCAGAUUUUUCUCACCGUUGGCGGCAGCUGAUUGCCUUUUCUUCCCAAGCUGAGACCUAGCUGAUCGACGCCCCCGAUUUCCUGUUCGAUGCGGCCGUUGCUUAUGAAGACCGCCGCUUCUUUAGCCAUUUCGGCGUUGACGCGAUCGGCGUGGCUCGCGCUGUUCUUUCACUGUCUGCUCGUGGUGGCGGCAGCACGAUAACGCAGCAGGUUUAUUUUCGAAAAUUAAUUUGUGAUGCAGUUCUGCCUGCAGUUGCACACCAAGUGUUUGUGUUUUUUCUGAAUAAAAAAAAGUUGGUUUUUCUUGUCUUUCUAGUGUUUGUUGUUUGGUUGUUUUUCGAAGGGAUAAUUGCGCUUAUCUAUACAAACUUUCGUCAAAUUUUGAUGUUUCACAUAAAACUAAAAAUUUGCAAACCUAAAAUUUGAGGAAAGUUGGUAUACUUAGGCGCAAUUAUCCCUCUUUGAUAAUACCUAAUGAAUGAUUGUAUAACUACCGUUGUUGAAUACACUAAUUUAUUUCCAAAAUAUUUCAGAAAAUAAUUUUUGUUAUUGAGGUUGAUUGUUGCAUACAUCUAGCUUGUCAAAAAUACACUUUUGAAGAACGAGCGCAGCAGUAGAACUCGAGAGGAGAAUUUCGAAAUUAAGAAUCUUGAGUGCUUACUUGUGUAAGAUAUACUGGGGACAUGGCAUUUACGGAAUAAAUUCUUCAUCGGAGUUUUAUCUUGGAAAGCAUCUGUCCAAUCUUACUUUGGGGAUGAUACCCGCCCCAGAGGUCAGAUCACCAUUCCGAGAUUACAGCAGAGGAAAGACCUUCCAAGCUAGAGUUUUGAAGAGGAUGGUUGAUGGCCAACUUGGGUAAGAUGGUAAGUUUGGGGGUUCUUACUUCUUACAGAUUUCAGUGUUGCAAGCUGAUGAGGAUUCUCUGUAUAUUUUUGUCUCGUGUUUCAUGACACUUUUCGUGUGUGGAAUUGUACACGUGCGAGUGAAAUGAAACACGACAUUGAGUAUAUUUAAUUU